rnacentral:rRNA from 1 species
UACGUAGGGUGCAAGCGUUGUCCGGAAUUAUUGGGCGUAAAGAGCUCGUAGGCGGUUUGUCGCGUCUGCUGUGAAAACCCGAGGCUCAACCUCGGGCCUGCAGUGGGUACGGGCAGACUAGAGUGCGGUAGGGGAGAUUGGAAUUCCCAGUGUAGAGGUGAAAUUCGUAGAUAUUGGGAAGAACACCGGUGGCGAAGGCGGCUCUCUGGACCGUAACUGACGCUGAGGCGCGAAAGCGUGGGGAGCAAACAGG